UACGUAGGUGGCAAGCGUUGUCCGGAAUUAUUGGGCGUAAAGGGCGCGUAGGCGGCGCCACAAGUCACUUGUGAAAACUCUGGGCUCAACUCAGAGCCUGCAAGCGAAACUGUGGUGCUGGAGUAUGGGAGAGGUGCGUGGAAUUCCCGGUGUAGCGGUGAAAUGCGUAGAUAUCGGGAGCAACACCUGUGGCGAAAGCGGCGCACUGGACCAUAACUGACGCUGAGGCGCGAAAGCGUGGGGAGCAAACAGG
rnacentral:rRNA from 1 species